GUGCUAGUGGAUCAACGACGUCUAGAAAGCCGUUUCUCGGGGCCUCUAUUAUCGCGGAUGUGUCGCGGGCAUCCGCGGCCGCACAGAUCAAUGUUACUGCGUUUCAUUAGACCUUAUAUUGUACAACUGACAGUGCAGCGUGGAUUAAUUCUUUUUUUUUUUAAUAAGGCUCUACUGCAUUGCGCAGCUUGUAAAACAUUUAUAAUAACUAGUUGUGCUCAAUUUAUUUUUAGACCUAGUGUCGUAUCUCAUUCCGGUACAUGUUGCUCACCGAUAUUCAGACAGACAAAACUAGGAGACUGAACGGAUGGUAAGCGGAAAUCGUUGAAGGGAGCCGCCCUGACUGCCUCCGUUGCGAAAUGGCGAUUGUCUUGUUUGCUUUGUAACACAAGUUUCUCAUUAAAUUCAGAUGAGAGGGUCAAAAUUAAGGGAAUGCUGUCAAGCCGCUGCCCCAAAACUGACUUGAAACAUGAGGUGUUGGAUAUAUUUAAUGGUUCAUUUUAAAUAUAGUAAAACACCGUGCAAAUUGUUCCACCAGAGUUAAAAACUGAGCAAGCUACCACCAAAGUGCUGCGUACGAAUCGCAGCAGUGCCUCGCAAACUGCCCUCCAGCGUGUGCUAGUAUUCUGUGCUUCAGCGCGACUAGCAAGAUGUCGGCGUCCAAGCUCCCAGGGCCGAAGUGCUGAAGAUGCCAGAGUGGUCUUCACCAACUCUCAAGCAGCGGUACGCAACUACAUGAAGGGCAGGAUCUCCAUCAAAGCGAUAAACAUACUGAAACGUGGCGACACUCCUCCCCCCUACACCUGCAUCAUGUGGGUUGCGGGACACGAGGUACUCGAGGAGAAUGAAGCGGCACACACCGCGGCCCGCGCAAGCGUCAACCGGGCCUCCCCGCACGAGAUUCUAGACAUGUCCCACCCACCCAAAUCAACGGAGGAAACGGAAACAAUACCGCUAACCUACCAAAUACUACUGCAGCACUAUCGGCUUGGACUCAGGGUAUACCCUCCGCCUUAUCCAAAACUAACGAGAAACGAAGGCACCGACUACAGGCGACUCCAGAGCAAUACCUUUACCCACGGAAGCUUACUGCAUCAUUUCCACCCGACGCUAUACAGCUACACCUGUCCGCACUGCAACGUGCCAGACACCCUGGCGCACCUCCUACUGCAAUGCAAGAACACCCGAGCAAGCAUCACAGCGACACAACUAGUAGCAACAGACGCAGACCCAAACCUCGUCGCUGAAACGUAGGAGGCUGCGAUCUCCAAGCCGGACCUGGUCGACCAGCGUGAACUCGUCGCCCGGGCCCGGAGGGCGAUCCAAGCCAGAUGGUUCCUGGAAUGAGGGACCCUCCCACCUCGACUGACAAGUCACUGCUUCAAAUAAAGGUUCAUUCUCUCUCUC